ACAGUCAUGGAAGUUCUGCUUUAAAAUCCGUUUCUGAAGAAGUGUUAAUGGCAGCAGUGAGCCCCCCUGCCUCUGAUUGUCAUCUUUGGGGGCCAGAGAAGUGAGCAGCUAUCCUUCCCAGUCCCUGGUCCCUCCAAGCAGUGACAACAAAGAAUGGACCAGGCGAGGCAUUGUGUGUAGACACGUGAGACUUCUCAUCCAGGGUCAAGAGGAGAAGCAGCGGAUUAGGAGUGCCAUGACUUAAAGUUAACCUCUUUAGAGCAGAUGAGCCCUGCUUAUUCUAGGGCAUUCAGCUAUGUCUAAUCAAUCGCUCCUGUGCUUGGAAGAAUGGGAACACGACACAGUUUCCCCUUCUUCCUUGUUUAUCUCACUGUAGCGGUGAGAUAGACGAUGGUCACAUUGGUACCAUCACGGCGCUGCGGUCAUAGCAGUCCCUAUUUAUCCCACAGGUUCCCCUGAAUUCCGAGGCAUCCCACAUUUCACAUGAGCAAAUAGCCUUGACACCUGCCGCGUCUCCAGGACAAUAGGCAUUUCUGACCCACAUGAUCUGCACAAAGAAGAAAGCCUCUCUCUCUUUCUCACCACUGCAUCCCCAACUGAUGUGGACCGUGAUACAUAAUUGGAGUUAAAUAAAUAGUUGAGGUUGUCCUGGGGGUCGUGCCUUUUUAAGGCUAUGUGAUUAUGCCAAUUCAUAGAAAACAUGAGAUGAUUAAAAAGAGAAAUAAUUG
ensembl:lncRNA novel transcript